rnacentral:rRNA from 1 species
UAUUGCGGCAGCUAGCUCUCUGCAACUCUCAUAUGGUCGCCCACUGAAUCUAUGCAGGGCUGUGCCUAGUCAGUUCCUGGAUGGGAGACCAUAUAGGAAAGCUAGGUUGGUGCUAGAA